CCAAAAAAAUCCUUGGUUGUAGAUCUUCACAUUUUGCUUCAAGUCGAAGAUUACAAAUUUUGCACAUUUGUUCUGGCUGUCUUGGCUGAGAUAUUGGGACGCCGACCCAAAAUGAUCCUAAGCAGUAUGUCUCACAAAAAUUUUUUUCAAGGCCGCCGCUGAAUAAUUUUAACAAUUGAAGGCUCCCCGCUACUUUUCUGCGAUGCAAUAAUUUUUUUGUGUGUGUAUGUGACACUCCUAUGCAGGUCAUUUCACCAUGAAGACUUGUUUGUGGCUUACUCUGCUAUCCCUCGUCACCGUGGCCUGUGAGUCUAGUGCCUAUACUAACUCGAGGGGUUGCAUGUAAUAAAAGCUAGCUCAACUAGCACUAUGAUGACUUUGAUGAGUCGCAUCACCGUGGCAGAUUAAGGAGACUAGGACACAUUAGGAGCUUGGUUGGUGCCGGCAGACGACAUUUCACUUAAGGUUUUCAAGACGCAAAUGCGUGUGAGAAAGUCGGAAUAAAUUAAUUACACCAGUCUCUGUCAUGUUGUAAGCAAAAUAUUCUCUUUGUUCAUAUAUAAUUAUUGUAUGUUGAUUCAUAAGCCAUUUUUUCCACACGUUAACUUAAAACAGCAAGGAGAAGAAGAACUAGCAACCAGUAGCCUCUUCUGGAGCAUACGCGGAAUGAAUUUCCAAGCGUACAACGUGAACCUACACUGACGUCAUGGACGCACUGUUAACGGCGUAAUCUAUCGGUUGCCAACGCAUUCAAAUCAGCAUACCUUUGAUUUUCAAGCCAUUGUACUAUCAGCGGCGAAAACUAACAUGCCAAAUCGGAUGGUAUUUACAUACACGUGUUAUAGAAUUUAUAUUAUGUUUUACUUUGUAUUACCACAACAACGAUUUACAUUAGCUUUUAGGGAUAUUCAAAGAACAGUGCUUCUAAUACAUUCUUCUUCUUGUUGCCUUUUUCAUAUGCAACGAAGAUGGCGCAACACUAGCUCCGCAGGUGGUCUUGGCUAAGGCUGUUCUUCCUAAAGAAGCUGAAGCAGAUGCCCUCGAGAAAGUUGGCAAGACCCUGGAGACAGUGGGACGGCUUCUGCAGGGCGAAAACAUCGCCUUAAACGAGGAGGUGCAAGAACAUUUGGUCAACGCGCUCCGGAUUGCGUCUGCCAAUGGCGAAGUGUUGGCUGAAGAUGGCUCCGAGUACAUCUGGCCAAUCAUCAUUCGUGGUGUUAUUCAGGGUGCCAUCGCCCACGUUGUCCACAAGAAGUUGAACAAGGGAUAAGAAACUGCUAGUGAAAAAUUACAACGCGUUAAUUACAAUAUCAUCAAAAAGAUACAAUGCCACGAAUUACGCACCCAGUUAGUUGUUCAUGAUCUCUACUGUAAUUAUGUGGCCUAAAAUAAAGUUCGUUGGUGCAGGGA